GACGAACGCUGGCGGCGUGCCUAAUACAUGCAAGUUGAGCGCUGAAGGUUGGUCCUUGUACCAACGGGAUGAGCAGCGAACGGGUGAGUAACGCGUGGGGAAUCUGCCUUUGAGCGGGGGACAACAUUUGGAAACGAAUGCUAAUACCGCAUAAAAACUUUAAACACAAGUUUUAAGUUUGAAAGAUGCAAUUGCAUCACUCAAAGAUGAUCCCGCGUUGUAUUAGCUAGUUGGUGAGGUAAAGGCUCACCAAGGCGAUGAUACAUAGCCGACCUGAGAGGGUGAUCGGCCACAUUGGGACUGAGACACGGCCCAAACUCCUACGGGAGGCAGCAGUAGGGAAUCUUCGGCAAUGGACGAAAGUCUGACCGAGCAACGCCGCGUGAGUGAAGAAGGUUUUCGGAUCGUAAAACUCUGUUGGUAGAGAAGAACGUUGGUGAGAGUGGAAAGCUCAUCAAGUGACGGUAACUACCCAGAAAGGGACGGCUAACUACGUG
rnacentral:rRNA from 1 species